CACGGAGAUGCUGCACUGCACGGCCGCCAGUGUGAGCAGCAGCACCGACGCCUCUGAACCCAGGACAGCCAGGAAGCCCGUAGCCUGGCAGCCCAGACCGCUCUCCCAGCGGGCUCCAUACUCAGCGAACUGACCAUAGGUCAAGGCGUCCACCGAGGCCAGGAGACCACAGGAAAUGCCCGACAGGGCGUUGGCGCCUGCCAUCGCACCCACCACAAGCUUGACGGGGGACAGCGGGCUGGGUCCGCUGGCAAAGACUGUCAGCAGCACCAGCCCGUUACAGAGUACGGAGAGUAACACGAUGGCCCACACAGCAAGGCGGAUGCCCCAGCUCUCAAAGAGACAUGAAAUUCUCGAGGCAGAGCCACUGAAGCACCGGUUUCCUAGCAAAAUACACGUCUGCUUCUUUCCCUCAUCCACCACUAGAGGGUGCACUUUGCCGCUAAGCGCUAAAAGCUUGUCAGAAGCAAGGUCAAGGCUGAAAGCUUUCUGGGCAAAGAAAGGUUUUAAGCCAAAGAAAUCUGGAAAUCUGGAAAACGAAGGUGGG
rnacentral:lncRNA from 1 species